UACGUAGGUGGCAAGCGUUGUCCGGAAUUAUUGGGCGUAAAGCGCGCGCAGGCGGCCUUUUAGGUCUGAUGUGAAAGCCCACGGCUCAACCGUGGAAGGUCAUUGGAAACUGAAAGGCUUGAGUACAGAAGAGGAAAGCGGAAUUCCACGUGUAGCGGUGGAAUGCGUAGAGAUGUGGAGGAACACCAGUGGCGAAGGCGGCUUUCUGGUCUGUAACUGACGCUGAGGCGCGAAAGCGUGGGGAGCAAACAGG
rnacentral:rRNA from 1 species